ensembl:lncRNA HRG-AS1 HRG and FETUB antisense RNA 1
AAGAACAAGAAAAAGAAAGGAGGGAAAUGCAUUCAUUAAGAAGAGAAACACAUUCUCCCAGCGGCCAUGGGCUUCCCAUUAAGACCUUCACCUGCGCAUUUAUCCUCUGGGAGGCAGCAGUUCCCUGCAAAGGAGGAAAGGUUGCUGGCAGAGGUGGUUGGGGCUAUGUGCCUGGAGUGAAGAUUCUGCCCAUUGGUCAAGAGACCUCCCUCUCAGAUGCUGGCUCUGCCCCUGCCUUUGGGGGUCGACCCUUGUACU